rnacentral:rRNA from 1 species
UACGUAAGUGGCGAGCGUUAUCCGGAAUUACUGGGCGUAAAGCGCACGUAGGCGGAUAUUUAAGUCAGGGGUGAAAUCCCAGAGCUCAACUCUGGAACUGCCUUUGAUACUGGGUAUCUUGAGUAUGGAAGAGGUGAGUGGAAUUCCGAGUGUAGAGGUGAAAUUCGUAGAUAUUCGGAGGAACACCAGUGGCGAAGGCGGCUCACUGGUCCAUUACUGACGCUGAGGUGCGAAAGCGUGGGGAGCAAACAGG